rnacentral:misc_RNA from 1 species
UAAUAAGUGUUUUAUGGCACUUUUUAAAUCCAUAUCCACCUCGUGUGCAAUGUCAGUCGAUCUUCUUCAUGGAGAUCGACCAAACAUCAACCUUUAUCUUUUAACUCUUUGUCUGAAAAAUAUUAUGAAUAAACAAUUCAAAAUA